GACGAACGCUGGCGGCACGCUUAACACAUGCAAGUCGAACGGAGAUAUUUAGGUUUACUUAGAUAUCUUAGUGGCGGACGGGUGAGUAACACGUGAGCAACCUGCCUUUGAGAGAGGGAUAGCUUCGGGAAACUGAUGGUAAUACCUCAUAACGUACAUUUGCCGCAUGACAGAUGUACCAAAGAUUUAUCACUCAAAGAUGGGCUCGCGUCUGAUUAGCUAGUUGGUGAGGUAACGGCCCACCAAGGCGACGAUCAGUAGCCGGACUGAGAGGUUGAACGGCCACAUUGGGACUGAGACACGGCCCAGACUCCUACGGGAGGCAGCAGUGGGGAAUAUUGCACAAUGGGGGAAACCCUGAUGCAGCGAUGCCGCGUGGAGGAAGAAGGCCCUCGGGUUGUAAACUUCUUUUAGCAGGGACGAAGAACGUGACGGUACCUGCAGAAAAAGCAACGGCUAACUACGUG
rnacentral:rRNA from 1 species